UAUUAGGUUGGUGCAAAAGUAAUUGCAGUCAUUGCCAUUACUUUCAGUGGCAAAAACUGCAAUCACUUUUGCACCAACCGAAUA
ensembl:miRNA